GCCGUGCAGGGUGGCGCAUGCCUGUAAUCCCAGCAGCUCCAGAGGCUAAGGCAGGAGGAUCACAUGUUCAAAGCCAGCUUCAGCAACUUAGCAAGGCUUUGAGCAACUUAGCGAGACCCUGUCUCAA
rnacentral:sRNA from 1 species